rnacentral:rRNA from 1 species
UGGCGGACGGGUGAGUAACGCGUGGGUAACCUGCCUCAUACAGGGGGAUAACAGUUAGAAAUGACUGCUAAUACCGCAUAAGACCACGGAGCCGCAUGGCUCAGUGGGAAAAACUCCGGUGGUAUGAGAUGGACCCGCGUCUGAUUAGGUAGUUGGUGGGGUAACGGCCUACCAAGCCAACGAUCAGUAGCCGACCUGAGAGGGUGACCGGCCACAUUGGGAUUGAGACACGGCCCAA